rnacentral:rRNA from 1 species
CCUACGGGAGGCUGCAGUGGGGAAUAUUGGACAAUGGGGGGAACCCUGAUCCAGCCAUGCCGCGUGUGUGAAGAAGGCCCUCGGGUUGUAAAGCACUUUCAGUGAGGAAGAACGCCUGGUGGUUAAUACCCAUCAGGAAAGACAUCACUCACAGAAGAAGCACCGGCUAACUCCGUGCCAGCAGCCGCGGUAAUACGGAGGGUGCGAGCGUUAAUCGGAAUUACUGGGCGUAAAGCGCGCGUAGGUGGCUUGAUAAGCCGGUUGUGAAAGCCCCGGGCUCAACCUGGGAACGGCAUCCGGAACUGUCAAGCUAGAGUGCCGGAGAGGAAGGUAGAAUUCCCGGUGUAGCGGUGAAAUGCGUAGAGAGCGGGAGGAAUACCAGUGGCGAAGGCGGCCUUCUGGACUGACACUGACACUGAGGUGCGAAAGCGUGGGUAGCAAACAGGAUUAGAUACCCUUGUAGUC